CACGUAGGGCGCGAGCGUUGUCCGGAAUUAUUGGGCGUAAAGAGCUCGUAGGCGGCCUGUUGCGUCCGCUGUGAAAGCCCGGGGCUUAACCCCGGGUCGGCAGUGGAUACGGGCAGGCUAGAGGUAGGUAGGGGAGAGUGGAAUUCCCGGUGUAGCGGUGAAAUGCGCAGAUAUCGGGAGGAACACCGGUGGCGAAGGCGGUUCGCUGGGCCGUAACUGACGCUGAGGCGCGAAAGCGUGGGGAGCGAACAGG
rnacentral:rRNA from 1 species